AUUGAACGCUGGCGGCAGGCUUUACACAUGCAAGUCGAACGAGUGGCGGACGGGUGAGUAAUGUCUCGGAACGUGCCCGAUGGAGGGGGAUAACUACUGGAAACGGUAGCUAAUACCGCAUACUAUCGGAUGUGCCCAUAUGGGAUUAGCUAGUUGGUGGGGUAAAGGCUCACCAAGGCGACGAUCCCUAGCUGGUCUGAGAGGAUGACCAGCCACACUGGGACUGAGACACGGUCCAGACUCCUACGGGAGGCAGCAGUGGGGAAUAUUGGACAAUGGGCGCAAGCCUGAUGCAGCCAUGCCGCGUGUAUGAAGAAGGCCUUCGGGUUGUAAAGUACUUUCGGCAGGGAGGCGGUACCCGCAGAAGAAGCACCGGCUAACUCCGUGCCAGCAGCCGCGGUAAUAC
rnacentral:rRNA from 1 species